UACGGAGGGGGCUAGCGUUGUUCGGAAUUACUGGGCGUAAAGCGCGCGUAGGCGGCUUUGUAAGUUAGAGGUGAAAGCCCGGAGCUUAACUCCGGAAUUGCCUUUAAGACUGCAUCGCUAGAAUCGUGGAGAGGUGAGUGGAAUUCCGAGUGUAGAGGUGAAAUUUGUAGAUAUUCGGAAGAACACCAGUGGCGAAGGCGACUCACUGGACACGUAUUGACGCUGAGGUGCGAAAGCGUGGGGAGCAAACAGG
rnacentral:rRNA from 1 species